rnacentral:rRNA from 1 species
UACGGUGAAUACGUUCCCGGACCUUGUACACACCGCCCCGUCAAGCCAUGGAAGCUGGGUGUACCUAAAGUCGAUAACCGUAAGGAGUCGCCUAAGGGGUAAAACUAGUAACUGGGCUAAGUCGUAACAAGGUACCC